UACCUAUCCUAACCUAAACUAGCCUAACAUUCCAUUUUCACAUUACAUUCCAUUUUUUAUGUAGGCCUACAUUAACUAUUUUUCUUAAUUACAUUUUUUUUAUUUUUCAAGGAUGUGGAGGACGAUGAGGAAGAGCCGGCCGGGGAUGUGGAAGAGACUGUUGAAGAUGCUGUCGAGGAGGCUGUUGAAGAGGCUGUCGAGGAGGCUGUCGAAAAGGCUGUCGAAGAGGCGAGUGGAGAGGCUUUCUGAAGGAGGCUGAGGUUCUAAAUGAGCUGGAGCAAGAUGUGGAGGACGAUGAGGAAGAGCCGGCCGGGGAUUGAGACCUAGAGGCUGUUGAAGAGGCUGUUGAGGAGGCUGUUGAAGAGGCUGUUGAAGAGGCUGUCGAAGAGGCUGUCGAGGAGGCUGUCGAAAAGGCUGUCGAAGAGGCGAGUGGAGAGGCUUUCUGAAGGAGGAUGAUGUUCUAAGUGAGCUGGAGCAAAUAGGCUGGUAACCAAAACGAAUGUGAGAAGAUG
rnacentral:lncRNA from 1 species